CGGGUGAGUAAUGUCUGGGAAACUGCCUGAUGGAGGGGGAUAACUACUGGAAACGGUAGCUAAUACCGCAUAACGUCGCAAGACCAGAGAGGGGGACCUUCGGGCCUCUUGCCAUCGGAUGUGCCCAGAUGGGAUUAGCUAGUAGGUGGGGUAAAGGCUCACCUAGGCGACGAUCCCUAGCUGGUCUGAGAGGAUGACCAGCCACACUGGAACUGAGACACGGUCCAG
rnacentral:rRNA from 1 species